CCCAAACUUUCAACUUUUUGUUUCUGUUUGAAGAUACUUCACUAUUUACCCCGUAUUAAUCUAUUUUUGCACUUUGUUGUUCCCUGAAUGUAUUCUCUAAAUUUAUUUAUUGAAUUUUGGGAUGAUUAUGACCAUUCCUUUGGUGAACUUACUAUGUUAUUUUUAACUUCCCUAAACCGAAGUGCUCCUUUAUGAGGUCCCUUAAUUUAAUAUUUACUUUUGAAAAGACCAGUGCAACAUUGAAUUGUUGACUUGUAGUUUGAUUUUUCUAACUCAUUUACUUAUGUUAAUAGUGUUUUCAAAGGUCCAAUCUUGGUUCCUUGUCAGUAGUCCUUCCUUCAACAGGCAGAACUAGAGGUACAGUGCAUCGACAGAGUAGUGGAAUUGAAAAUUCCAGCAAUCCUCCAAAGCUUCGUAGGAAUGCCUCUACUUCAUGUGAUACAAUUAGCACUUCCCAAUAUGGUCCUUCAGAUCCAGGUUAUACUUGAAAGGACAAUUUUGUUAGUUAUUAUUAACACUUAUUUUUCAUAAAUUUCUCUUUAUGAGAUAACUUUAUUAACAUUUAGAACUUUAAAUUACCUUGUUUUGCUAGUUUUUGGGUCUUUUGUCCUUCCCAUUGUUUGGUUUUAUCAUAUUUCUUUGAAUUUUGUACUGUAGUAUGCUAUAUGUGCUUCCUUACAAUAUAAUGCUUUUACGGUAGUGAGUUUAGUAAUAGCCAUGCUUUCAGGGUGAUUGCUUUUAGGUAGAUUUUUAUAUUUAUAUUCCUAAUCAAACCCAACCAUUAAAAAUCCACAUAAAUGGCAUUAUUGAAGGAAGAAUUCAACGUGAAUAGUAAAUUGACGACAUAGCGUAUCGUCAUGAAGAGUUUUUCUUUUCGGUUUCUCCAUUGGGUUUGGGUAGAUAGAAAUUUUUAGUUUGGUCCUGAUCACAGGAAUUUAUUAUAUUGUAUUGUUUUAUAGUCCAAAGAAGUACGGAAUCGUCCCAAUGCAAUGCUUAGAGAUUUAUUACCGCUUCUGCUGACUGAUUUUUUGCUCACAAUUCUUUUACUACUCUAACUUAAUUGUUUUUUUUUUUUUUGGUUUGGUACCUAAGGCGAGAUUGACUGUUAGUUAUAUUGAAUGGACUUCUAAUCAGUAAUAAAAAAAUGUUUUGGCAUGUCAUAUAUGUGAUAGGAUGAGUAGUUUUAAAUGGGUUAAAAUAUCACUAGCUUAAUUGUACUUUUAAGUUGCUUAGUCUUGUUAGCGAUGAAUUAAUUUUUUUCAUCAAGUAAUGGCAACUGAUAGGAUGGGACCUUCAGCUUCAUGGGUAGUCAUCAUGGAAUAAUCAUUUUUUAUUGGGAUAAAUAGGAAUUGUUAAUCAUGAUUUUAAAUUUUAUUUAUUUAUUAUGAAGCAUUUUUAAAUUGUGGGUAAUUAAAUAAGAAAAAAAAUACUUUUUUCGUAAACAAAACAAAAAGGUGAUGUCCUUUUAAAAUUCUUUGUAACUUUCUCAAGCUUUUGUCUAAUAGCUCUUCCGAAACCUCACUUAGACUUAA